rnacentral:tRNA from 1 species
CAUUAGGUGGCUGAAAGCAAGCAAUGGAAUUUUAAACCAUAAAAUAGUGAAAUAGCGAGUACUUCUAAUGA